GUUCGCAUCUUAAAGGCUGAUGCCUAUUCUGUUGGCUUUUCGAGACAUGGCAUUUGAAAGAUUUUAUCAUAUUGUAGUUAAUGCACAAUGUGGGAUAUGGAUAUUUGUUGAAGUAUCAUUGUAUUCUAAGCAAUUGCUCUUUCUUAGUAUGCAUCUCAUCCACUUGUUUACAUCUGACUGUUCCAUUCUGCUUGUUUAUAUGAUGUCUAGAAGGUUUCAUCUUAUCUUGGAGAUUGGAACC
rnacentral:lncRNA from 1 species